CCCCGCCUUAAACUGAACAGCUCACCCACGCCCCACGGUCCACCCCGCAAGUUGCUUCGUGGCCACUAUUCCCCACCCAUCAGCUAAUGCCCGAUCCAACUCCCGGCACAGAGGCGGCGCCUAGGGCUUCUCCCUGUGCGAUCGGUUGCUCUGGUUGGUGCUCUCUCCCCUGCCCAAUCUCAUCUUCAUCUCUCUUCCUGCCCGAUCGGCAUCUUCCUCUCGCAGCCCCUUCUUUAAUCUGGUGGUCAGCAUGAUUGGAUUAGGUACCAGAGAGAUGUGAGAAUUUUGUGUUGUGAUCGGAAGGAGAUUGAAGCCUCUCCAUGGAAUCAAUCAAGCGAUCUGGUGGCAGCUUCCUCAAAUCAGGUAGCAGCAACGAGAGGGAAGGUGCCACCAAAAUUGAUGGAAUCCAUCCGGCAGAUCAAGAGUGGUCACGACCUGCCUUCAUGACCCAGAAACUGAGCUCACUUUCUCUCACAAUGGGACCCCAGUCUCGGCGAGGAUCUGACCCUGGUCUGCACUAGCAUCACUGCAGUUCAUCUUCUCCCACCAUCUUGCAAGUUGCAACUAUCCUGCCUGGGCCUGAAUGAGGCAUGCUCACCCUUCUCUUCUACAUGUGCUUUUCCUUGUGAAUGCAAAUCUGUUGAUGGAUUUAAGUAAAUAGUUCAUCAUUCCAUGAUUUCUUGAAUGAUCAGUAUUUUUGUACAAAUCAGAAGGAUAGUUGCAGGCCUUCAAAACGUCAAGUGUUUUACCAUGCCCACAAGGUGUUUGUGAAAAUGCAAAGGAGAACAAUUCAUGGCGUAGAUCUGCUUCUACGAGAACUAUGGCCCUCAGGCAACUGAGCUACCAAUUGAAUCAUGAAAUUAAUAGAUCCUCUGAACUUUGACGUUGUCUACAGAUUUGCUGAAGCCGCAAAGUUCCAGAACAAGGGUUAUGAAUGUCCAAAGAGUCGGUUGAAUAUUUCUCUUGUUCGGAUAUCACCAGAAGCAUGACGAGACAACGGGAAAGGCCAGAAGUAGCAGCUAGAAUUUAUAUUUUAUAUGUGCAUGUAUAUGUGUGUUGCCGAGGCAUGACAAUAUACAAGAAAGUUCUGUAAUAUACUGGUAUACUGAAAAGGAUGAAAUGAAUUGGUAUAUAUAUUGGUGCUGUCUCUCA